rnacentral:lncRNA from 1 species
CGACUGAGUAUGCCCGGCGUGAAGGAUAUGGGCGUUGAGUGGCCCACACAGGAGUUCGGCUGGUUAAGGGAUGUUACUUAUGCGGCUUGAAAGAAGGGAGGUCCGCACAGGGCUUGUUGUCUAGCUCAGAGAACUUUACAAUGUUCCGAUCAUGAGCCGUAAAGCGACUUUUCCAAGCUCGCUGCCGGCUAUAAAUACCAAAGUCACACUGUCGAUCACAGGAGGCCCUCAAAAGAUAAGCCUCGAGUACGACCACGACGUAUAGUCCCCAAAUGACACAAGUGAAACACCUUAUAAACCGUGUGACAGAACAUUCACACAAGAAAUGAACAAUUAACAAGUACAUAAACAUACGCGAACGAGCGUACAUUCUCGUCUCGUCCAUAAGUCCAUCAGCGAAGUGUAAGAUAAGAACCAAACACCUUACGCGAUAAUACACAAAAUUCGCGUAUUCACACCGAUUAUAACCUAAGACNNN